rnacentral:tRNA from 2 species
GGGGGUGUAGCUCAGUCUGGUUAGAGCGCCGGCCUGUCACGCCGGAGGCCGCGGGUUCGAGUCCCGUCACUCCCGCCA